rnacentral:ncRNA from 1 species
UAUUGACGUAGCGGAAGGGGCUCGCCACAAUCACGCCCCGACGCAGCAUCCAGGAACACGGUGCAAUUCCGUGGCGGGCCCGCCGCUGUAAUCGGGGACGGAGAUCGCAGGGGGCCGGUGGCGCAAGCCUUCGGUCGCCAGCCACUGUCGGGGAUCACUCCGGCGGGAAGGCGCGGUCGGUGGACGUGGAGUUCCGCGAUCACCAUGAUUCCGGUCGAUCCGAGAGCCAGAAGACCUGCUCGUCGUCAGACUUUUGGA